CGACGACAACGUUUGAACCCAUUUUGACAAUUGAGUCUUUGACAUUCCACAAAGCAAAAUCCCCACCUUCCUUCUCGUAGAUCCGAUCUCCUCCCGCCCACCCCCUCUUUCUCUCUCUCUCUCAUCGAUCUGCAAAUUCGUCGAAGAUCAUGCCUCUGUAAUUGGAGCUCUAAUGGAAGGAGAUGAUACCCACUGAGUCGCCAUUAGAGCACAAUGAGCUGUUAACCCGCCCUUCUCUCAGUCGUGAGCCUUCGUUUUCUGGCUGGUGCGAUUUCAACCAGCUCCGACAAACUCAUCAUCUACGACGAGGCGAAGGCGAUAGCGACAACGAUAACGACAACGACGACGACGAAUUUGAACUGCCAUUUGAUCAGCCAGGAAUUGGAAUGGACAAACCUGGUGAUUUGGAGAGAGAUGAUAGGAAUGGGAAUGGGAAUGAGAGUUAUGUUCCUUUUAAUGUUGAAAACGAAGGGAAUGGGAAUCGGAGUAUUCAGGAUUCGGAUUCCAAGACUGAAAUCUCACCUGCUAAUGUGCUCAAGACUUUGUUCUUUAUCUGUGUUUGGUACACUUUUAGCUUGUUUUUGACACUGUAUAAUAAAUCUCUAUUAGGGGAUCAUAUGGGGAAGUUCCCAGCUCCCUUGUUGAUGAACACAUUUCACUUUGCUAUGCAAGCUGUUUUAUCUAGAGCUAUUACUUACAUUUGGUAUGAAAGAUUUCAUAAAGGUGUACGCAUGACAUGGAGGGAUUAUUUUUCUAAAGUUUUCCCUACAGCUCUUGCAACGGCAUUGGAUAUCAAUCUGAGCAAUGCAUCACUUGUUUUCAUCUCUGUUACAUUUGCCACUAUGUGUAAAUCCGCUUCUCCGAUAUUUCUUCUUGUCUUUGCUUUUGCUUUCAGGUUGGAGUCUCCAAGUCUUAAACUUUUUGGAAUCAUUCUAGUCAUCUCAUUUGGAAUUCUUUUGACGGUUGCAAAGGAAACAGAAUUUGAGUUUUGGGGAUUUAUCUUUGUUAUGCUUGCUGCUGUUAUGUCUGGAUUUCGCUGGUGUAUGACACAGAUUCUGCUCCAGAAAGAAUCCUAUGGUUUAAAGAAUCCACUUACCUUCAUGAGCUAUGUGACCCCUAUAAUGGCACUGGCGACUGGUUUGAUGUCACUUUUGUUGGACCCUUGGCAUGAGUUCCCACAGAAUGAAUAUUUUAACAGCUCCUGCCAUAUCACAAGAAGUUGUUUGCUCAUGCUUUUUGGCGGUACCUUGGCCUUCUUUAUGGUACUGACAGAGUAUGUUCUGAUCUCAGUAACUAGUGCCAUGACAGUCACAGUAGCGGGUAUUGUUAAGGAGGCCGUUACCAUAAUUGUUGCUGUCUUUUACUUCCAUGAUGACUUUACUUGGUUGAAAGGGAUCGGUCUUCUGAUAAUCAUGAUUGGUGUCGGUUUAUUUAAUUGGUACAAAUAUCAGAAGCAUCAGAAAGGUGAAGUCCAUGAAAAUGCCGGGGAGCAGUUAGGAGCGACUAAUAUCCCUGCAAAGUAUGUCAUUCUUGAAGAGUCCGAUGAUCAUCAUGAUGGCAUUUGAAACCUUUUGAUUCUAUGAGUAUAUUAGCUUGCAUGACUAUUCGCAUCACCAGUUCUGUGGGCUCACAGAAAGAGGUUUGACAUUUGGACAGUUGGAAGUUGUUCCUGUAAUCAUGUGUGAGUGGAGCUAUUAAACUUUUUUUCCCAUUAAUUUAAUUUAUAUAAUAUAUUUUUUUUGUGUACUAGGGAGGAUCAACUAACAUUUUAACUCCUGUGAUUGUGAAGUUCAAUUACCUGAACCACACAUAAUUGACUACCUUCUAUAUAAACCAAUACCUUGGCAUCAUCAAUGAAGAAACCUUUAUUCAGAGGCAUAGUUUGUUAAGGGCUCCCUCAAUGGGGACACAUUCAGCUUAAAAUCAACUUGUAAAAAGUGCAUCAAACAUCUUCUCCAGGCAAACUGUAUGUACACAACGUAAUUUGUCUUCAAACUUCUUGUUGGAUCGCUGCCAAAGCUGCAGGUUUUGAUGGCAGACACAGUUCAGGUGAUACAUGGGCAUACCAUACAUGAACCCUCCCAGCUAAAAGCGGCUGCCUCUGUUCGUAUUAUACACCGUCAGGCUGCUUGCUGUAUCAUUUUUGUACCGUUAUACUAGAUUGUACAUGUAUUACUGAAGACAUGAAAUUUUACUGCUUUCUCCAAUUAGGCUGAAGGUGUUAUUAGCAAACUUCUGUACAUGUGUGUGAUUGCCAAUUUUGUUCAUUGCAAAACAUUGUAGUACUCAAUUUUGGAUAAAUUGUAAAGCAUUUUUUCAACAAAUCACUGCGGAUUAUCAUCAAGACAUACAUAUUAAGUUAAUCUGUUUGCA